rnacentral:rRNA from 1 species
UACGGAGGGUGCGAGCGUUGUCCGGAAUCAUUGGGCGUAAAGGGCGCGUAGGCGGCUUCUCAAGCGUGCGGUGAAAGUCGGGGGCUCAACCCCUGAUCGGCCGUGCGAACUGGGGGGCUCGAGCACUGUAGAGGCAGGCGGAAUUCCGGGUGUAGCGGUGGAAUGCGUAGAGAUCCGGAAGAACACCGGUGGCGAAGGCGGCCUGCUGGGCAGUUAGCUGACGCUGAGGCGCGACAGCGUGGGGAGCAAACAGG